CCGAUUGACUAAGGUUUCCAGAGGAAGGCUCGUCCGCUCUGGGUUAGUCGGGUCCUAAGCUGAGGCCGACAGGCGUAGGCGAUGGAUAACAGGUUGAUAUUCCUGUACCACCUAUAAUCGUUUUAAUCGAUGGGGGGACGCAGUAGGAUAGGCGAAGCGUGCGAUUGGAUUGCACGUCUAAGCAGUAAGGCUGAGUAUUAGGCAAAUCCGGUACUCGUUAAGGCUGAGCUGUGAUGGGGAGAAGACAUUGAGUCUUCGAGUCGUUGAUUUCACACUGCCGAGAAAAACCUCUAGAUAGAAAAUAGGUGCCCGUACCGCAAACCGACACAGGUAGUCAAGAUGAGAAUUCUAAGGUGAGCGAGCGAACUCUCGUUAAGGAACUCGGCAAAAUGACCCCGUAACUUCGGGAGAAGGGGUGCUCUUUAGGGUUGACGCCCAGAAGAGCCGCAGUGAAUAGGCCCAAGCGACUGUUUAUCAAAAACACAGGUCUCUGCUAAACCGUAAGGUGAUGUAUAGGGGCUGACGCCUGCCCGGUGCUGGAAGGUUAAGAGGAGUGGUUAGCUUCUGCGAAGCUACGAAUCGAAGCCCCAGUAAACGGCGGCCGUAACUAUAACGGUCCUAAGGUAGCGAAAUUCCUUGUCGGGUAAGUUCCGACCCGCACGAAAGGCGUAACGAUUUGGGCACUGUCUCAACGAGAGACUCGGUGAAAUCAUAGUACCUGUGAAGAUGCAGGUUACCCGCGACAGGACGGAAAGACCCCGUGGAGCUUUACUGUAGCCUGAUAUUGAAAUUCGGCACAGCUUGUACAGGAUAGGUAGGAGCCUUUGAAACGUGAG
rnacentral:rRNA from 1 species